AUUGAACGCUGGAGGCAGGCCUAACACAUGCAAGUCGAGCGGGGCGGCCGACGGGAGAGUAAUGACUCGGAAUCUGCCUGGUUGUGGGGGAUAACGUCCGGAAAAGGGCGGUAACAACUCAUACUAUCAGAUGAGCGUAGGUCGGAUUAGCUAGUUGGUGGGGUAAAGGCCUACCCAGGCGACGAUCCGUAACUGGUCUGAGAGGAUGAUCAGUCACACUGGAACUGAGACACGGUCCAGACUCCUACGGGAGGCAGCAGUGGGGAAUAUUGGACAAUGGGCGAAAGCCUGAUCCAGCCAUGCCGCGUGUGUGAAGAAGGUCUUCGGAUUGUAAAGCACUUUAAGUUGGGAGGCGUUACCAACAGAAUAAGCACCGGCUAACUUCGUGCCAGCAGCCGCGGUAAUAC
rnacentral:rRNA from 1 species